GCAUUUAUAGCUAAGAGGUCGAAAGCACUGGACUCAUAAUCCAUUUUUUAUAUAUUAAAUAAUAAAACAACAAUGGUCCAAAUCCAUUUAAAUGCA
rnacentral:tRNA from 1 species